UCCUGCUCCCUGGAGGGGUUGCUCCCAUCCAAGGCCUCCCUGGCAAGCUCCUUCCGGACGGGUGGCUGUGCCUUCACCAUGAAUUUGGGGGCAGCUGAGGCCAGGGGGGAGACUCCCCCAUGGAUGCAGAUCAUCCAACAGCCGAUUCCCCAACAGCCGAUGACAAUAUUUCAGCAGAUCCCUGGGAUCCUGUCUCCGUUCGCUCAGCCUGUAAGGCCAGGACACGUCCGAGAAGAUCUGAUAGAGUUAAUGAUGAUACAAAACGCCCAGAUGCAUCAGGUGAUCAUGAACAACAUGACCAUGGCCGCACUGGCAUCCUUUGGAUUCAGCCCAGCUCCCGCUGCUGCCCAGGUGAACCUGGUCCCUCUGCACACUGAAGAUGAAGAAGCAGAUUUGGUAUUCCACCAUCACUACGCACCAUACCCCACUGCCACUCCCGCCCCCCCAUGGCAGCCCCUGGCGCAGCCUCCAGCUUGGGCACAGGAGCCCCCUAGCAUACGCCACGUCAGCCUGGACCCACACCCAGCCCCAGCAAGGAGGACUCAGGAUGACAAAGUGGUCCCUCCGCCCCCGCCGCCCAGCGCCACGGGGACAGUGGGAGCCGACGUCCCGCCGGCUGCAGAGUAUUAUGACUACACCCAGGGCAAGCUGUGAGCCUGGCUCUGUGCGUCCUGGGAGCUCUUCUUCUCCUGCACCCCCUGUCCCUGCCUGGCUCGGGGAUCCCUGCUGCAGCAGGCGUCCCCCCCUGGCCCAGCGAAGCUGGUGCAUCGGGCCCUGACAGACCGCUCUGUCCUUCGUCCGCGCUUGUUAACUGGACUAGCUGUGGAAGCGACGGGCAACCUCCUGCUGCGUCCUCUCCCACCCCGCGCCUCGCCCUGCCUCACCCCAUGGAGCCGGAAGGGAAGCUUGCCUGGACUCGCCUCUCAGCUUGCCUGGACUCCUCUGUCAGAUAUUAAGAAGGUGCUUCAUGGUCUAGCUGUUUCCAUGACGUGGCUGUCCCCUGACGUGGCAGCUUCUCCUGCCCCAGGCAGGAAGAGGUGCUAUUAGGUGCAGCUACGGGCAGGGGGAAGGGUGUGUCUUUCCUCCACCACAUUCCCGCCCCCCUUUUUCUGUCUGCUGGCAUCCCCUCGCCGUAGCCUCAGGACUAAUGCAUGUCUUCACCACCCCUUAUUUCAUGUGUUUGCACCUCUACUCUGGUGACACGUCAGCCGGAGCUCCCUUCUGCUGCUGCCAUGGAAGGGACCUCGAGGUUCCCGGGGAAGUGGAAGACCCUAGGCAUCUCCAGCACGGAGGACAGUGCUGAUGUCCUGGGCCCAGGUCUCCCAGGACAGGCAGGGCUGGUGCCUGGUUGUCAGCCAUGUCUGGGCGCCACCUCGGCCUGCACCGUCCUUAUGUGACAGCUACACUCUUGGCUCACACACCGGGGAUUGAAUCGGCGCCCUCCUGAGCUAGCCGUGAGCACCUGGAGCUGGGGGCUGUGACAGCUGUGGAUGGGCCUGAUGGGGAGCUGACAGACCCAUCCACCAGUGGGUUACAUGUGCGCCACUGGUGUCUCCAGGGUAUGAGGGAACAAGCCAGCUGCCUGCCCUCUUCAUCGCAUUGAGAUGAGCAGGAGGAUGCAGGGCAGCAUCUGGCGAGCAGACGGGCAGGUGUCAUGGACUCUCAGGAUUCGUGCUCUCUCCCAGCUCUGUAUGGUCCCUGAGAGAAACCCACUUCGGUGUGACAACCCUUCUAGAGGGUCUGCUCUGUCGAGGUCAAGCCACAGCCCCCUCCGCCUCCUGGAACCGCACCUCUCUGAACCUUAGCGCGCCUGUCUCUUGCCGUGGGCCCCCUCAGGGAGUCCACUCGCUCUGGACCCCCGGGACCUCCACACCCAGAGGGAAUUAUACAACCCUGUUCUCUUGACUGGAGGAACUCUCAGCCAGCGUAAAACAGGAGGGUUUAUUGAGUGUCUGAACACAGCACAGGAAACUCUCAGGGCCUCAGGCCUGGCCUCUCUUAGCACAGGACAUCUAGGUCUGUCCAGCUUCCAGGUGGGCUCUGGCUGCUCUCCCCUCCGAGCCUAGAGACCCCCUCCUUCCAGCUGGGCAUCCUAUCACCGUCUCCCAAGUCCCGCCUGCAUCCUUUGUGUUCUGUCCCAGGUAAGCAGGCUGCCUGGGCCUCCUCUCUUCCCAGCCUCUCCUCUCAUCAGUCCUUUGUUUCCCCUCUGGCUGGAACCGGCUGGUCAGGUCACCAGGGUCCUCCCUCCGCAGCCCAUUGUCCUCCCACUGGCAAGGACCAGCUGUGACUUCUGAGCUGGGCCUCCCAGUCACCAGGUCACCAGUUGCUGGGGUCUGCCAGGCUGCAUGGUCCAUGCAGGGCGGCUGAGGGCCGGGCUGCCCAUAUCAUUCUGUCCUGGGCACGUCUCUUGCAGGGACCCUGCUGGCCACCACAGCAGGAAACUCUUAUGUGGUAAAAGUCUCAGCCAAAGGAGAGAAGCAGGGUCACUACUGACCCUGUCCUGUCCCGCCGCUCACUGGGGCCUCUCCAAACAGCCUAGCCACUGUAGGAACUGGGCUGCUGACCGAGAUCGCCCUGAGAGGGGGGCCCUGGAAAGGGGAAGGAGCCUUUCCUCCUGCACCUGACAGCCAGCUCUGCUCCCAGAGGCUGGGGCAUGGGGUUGGGAAUGGCCAUCAGAGAGAGGGUUUGGGAUGAUCACAUCCCCACCACCCCCAACUGGGGGGCAGGGAGUGGGGAGCAAAGUGAUGGCCUCAGCUGGAGAGUUAAUCCAUCCAGGCCCUCCGCGAUGGAUCAAAGGAUGGGCCACAACAGCGACUAAACUCUGUGCUAAGCCCCUAGCUCCCACCUGGCAGACUUGGAGCAGGAGAGCUGGGUUUCUUUAAAGUGAAGAACACGGAGCUUAGCAUGUGAGGAACCCAAACAGACCCCCAAAUAAUCCCCAGCCCACUGACCCUUGUGACAGCCCAUCUGGAGGAAGGGCUCCCAGGACUGGCAAGUUAUCAUCUUAACUGGGACAGUCUGGAGGUCACAAGGUGGCAAACAAAUGAGGCUUUCACCUCCCACACCUUGUCUAGCCUGAAAGUUCCUCCCUGUCUCUAGCUGCCAGGGGAUCUCCAUUGCAUGCCGUGAGCGUGCUCCUUCUCCUGAGCCCGCCACAUCCCUUCCCUACAGCUCCACAGGUCACCUCAGCCUUAGGUUGCCCGCUAUGGAAAGGUCACCUGAUCGGCGGGGGCCCUGUGCCAUUCCCUCGUGCUCUGGGAUUCUCCAGCGCCUGGGUCAGCUCUCCAUAGACUUGCAUGUGCAUUUGCAUACCUGAUUUGUACAUGCAGUCACAGCAACGGGGCACAUGCAGGCAGCUGGUCACCAAUGCACAUGGUCCCUCUGUGCUUGGUUGCCCUCCAGGACAACAGGGGGGAAUAUAAGAAUGACCACACUGGGUCAGAUCAGUGGUCCAUCCAGCCCAGUAUCCUGUCUGCCGACAGUGGCCAAUGCCAGGUG